rnacentral:lncRNA from 1 species
AUGCAAGCAGGAAGGGAGAAGGCACCUCGCGUGCUGUGGGCAUGGGGUCCUGGGCACCCAGGGACCUCUCCGUCAUCUUGCCGGCCCGCGUGCUGUGGGCAUGGGGUCCUGGGCACCCAGGGGCCUCUCCAGCGUCUUGCCGGCCCGUGUGCUGUGGGCGUGGGGUCCUGGGCACCCAGGGGGCCUCUCCAGUGUCUUGCCGGCCCGUGUGCUGUGGGCAUGGGGUCCUGGGCACCCAGGGGGCCUCUCCAGAAUCUUGCCGGCCCUCGAGGGGACGUCCCGGGCUUCGCCAAUGCCUGUCUCCUCAGAGUCGCUGUUGGGUCGGCAGGGCUGGUGGGGAGGCGAGGCCAGACUCUGACUGCGCUGCUCGCUCUGGACAUGAGGCCUGACUUGGGCUCUGCUGUGUUCUGGGAGGGCUGGCUGCAACAGGGACUGGCGUGGCCCCUCACGCUCCCAGAGGGACCGUGCCGGGUGGCCCGUGUGACAGUGUGGCCCGCCUGGGAGGCUUCUGCCCAAGCCCCUGGCUGCACGGCCCUGCGGGGAGAGCAGCCCUGCUGCCUGGGAUGGGGGCUUGCCCAGCCGCUGACGCUGCUGGUGCCCUCCCUUCCUCUCUGGUGAGCUGGUUCCCAGGCUGCCAGGGGCAGAGGAUAAGCCACGUGCUCGCCUCUGCCCUUGGGGGUGCUGUGUGCCACCGUCUGAUGGUGGAUGCUGCACCCCUGCGGGCAUCCCACGCACCCGCAGGAGCCUGGGCACAGCAGCUGCGCUCCCCCCCAGUGGAGGUACCAGAGGCCGCAUUCACGUUCUCAGGGUGCCCCUGCCCCCUGCCAGCCCCAGGCUGCAGGGCGCACGGCACUGUCCACGUGUGUGUCCUUGCUGAGCCUCAGACACCCUCCAGGGUCCGCGUGGUCCUCGCCUCGGGACCCCCUGUGGCCUGUGGUUGGUGUUCAGUGAGCCGGGCCCGCACUGGGCUCUGAGCUGAACCUCAUCAUCUGGGGUACCCGGCUGUGUUGAGCGGGCGCCCAGGCUGGGCGGGAGUGAGGCGGGACGCAGGAGGUGGCCCGUCCACCUGGCUUGCACUCUUGGCCCCUCCUGGGCGGAGCCAGCUGCCUUGUGGGCCCUGGGCGCUCAGCCACGGAAGGAGUGUGUCGUGUUUGCGGCGGGGGCUGCCUUCCUGCUGCGCUGCCAUGCGGAGUGGUCAGUCACUGGUCAGGAGAGGGGGUGGAGGUCAAAGGCCAGGCUGAGGGCCGCCUGUCCCUGCAGAGAGCUGUGCCCACCUGUCCUCGUGCAUGGAGGAGGCCGGUCUGCACCUUGGCAGCAGCCUGGGCCCUUCCUGGGUGUCCCCUCAGGUGGUUUAAGGCCCUGGAGGUGUCCUGCCUGUUCCCCGAGGACUGUAGCUGCAGCACUGGGUACUGGGUGCCUGCCCACCCACCCCGCGUCUGGGGGCCUGCCUGGCCCACACCUGGGGGUCCACACCUGGGGGCUCACUCUGCCUGCACCUGGGGCCCCACCCGGCCCGCACCUGGGGGCCCAUGCUGUGCUCAUCCGUUGUCAGGCAGGAAUGGGGUGUAUCCUUAACAGACCUUGGGGACCCCCACGUCGGCAGCCACCGCAGCCUCCACAGCAGGACCAUCGGGUGAUUGGUGCGUAUCCAGCACUGGCUUGAGUGCUCUGCGCUGGACUCCUUUAGGCUUGAGUCCCGUGGGGACCCAGGCAGACUGGAUCCCGGGGCUGGCGAAGGGCAUAGCUGGGAUUGCGCCCAGGGGUCUGGCCCUGUGUCUGCUCUGCGCCCCUGAGCUGCCUGGGGUCUGAGAGGCCCAGCCGGUGAUGGAGGUAGGGGGGACAUGGGCCUGUGAGGCUGUGGCAGCCCGGACAGGGAAACAAGUCACUGGUCAGGCCGGGGCCUGCAGGCCAGAGUGGGACAGGCAGUGCUGGUUUGGAUGGGAGCCCCAUGUGGGGCAAGGCUGUUGAGGGGGGCAGGUUCGCAGGGACCCCAGCAGGAGGCGGUGGCACUAGGCCAGAAGUGGU